GGAUUAGCUCAGCUGGCUAGAGCGCCUGCCUUGCACGCAGGAGGUCAUCGGUUCGACUCCGAUAUUC
rnacentral:tRNA from 1 species